AAUAUUGGACAAUGUGUGAAAGCCUGAUCCAGCCAUGCCGCGUGGUUGAAUUAGGUCCNCGGUUUNUNAAUCACGUUAAGUUGGGNAGAAGGGAUGUAGAUAAAUACUCUGCAAUUUUGACGUUACCGACAGAUUAAGCACCGGCUAACGUCGAUGCAGCAGCCGCUGUAAUACGAAGAGUGCAAGCAUUAAUCGGAAUUCUCGGGCGUAAAGCGCGCGUAGGUGGUUCGUUAAGUUGGAUGUGAAAGCCCCGGGCUCAACCUGUGAACUGCAUCCAAAACUGGCGGGCUAGAGUACGGUAGAGGGUGGUGUAAUUUCCUGUGUAGCGGUGAAAUGCGUAGAUAUAGGAAGGAACACCAGUGGCGAAGGCGACCACCUGGACUGAUACUGACACUGAGGUGCGAAAGCGUGGGGAGCAAACAGG
rnacentral:rRNA from 1 species